UGGGUCAGCAGACGGAAUGCCGUUUGUUGACUAGACAUGCUAGGCGCAGUCCGGUCAAUAUAUGCGUCUGAUAGGGGAUAUAACCCUCGAGUAAACUUAUCUGCCCCUGUCGACGUGAUUUCAUUUCCUUGGAGAAAGAUGAGGUUGUACAUCCUGUUCGUGCUGUCCUGUCUACUUCCGGUCGCGGCUCCAGGAAAAAGUAUGUUUAAAGAAUGCUUCUACUGCUUCCCCUACACGCCCUGGUACAUCUACUUCGAGCGCUGGCACAGAUGUAUGUGCCUGUGUGUAGCCAAAAAAAACCGCUGCAGACUUCUGCCAAAAAGGUUAGCCAUGGCCCAGCUUAAUCAGUUCUUUUGGAACAUGCAAUAAACGAUUGGUUCUAGUAAACUGCAAAAUAAUU